GAUGAUAAAGGCCACAAAGGAGAUACAACUCCAAGACUUGAAAAGGGCUACAUGUCUAGCUCAUUUAGCAGUCCAACCUGAGUUAAUCCGGAGAAUAAGGGAGGCUUAACUUCCUGAUUUCACUCUAGUAGCUAUCAGAAAUAAUACAGAAUAGAGUUUGAUUUCAGAGUUCUGAGUUUUUACAGAUGGGUUGCUAAGGUUUCAAGAAAAGUCAUGUGUUCCUAAUGAUAGUAAGUUAAAGAGAGAUAUCAUGAUAAAGUCUCACAGUUCGAAGUUCACAAUGCUUAUUGAAAGCACCAAGAUGUACCGAAGCAUGCCGCCCCGAUUUUGGCGGAGCAGAAUGAAAAGGGAUAUUAUUGACUUC
rnacentral:lncRNA from 1 species